GAUGAACGCUGGCGGCGUGCCUAAUACAUGCAAGUCGAGCGAACAGACGAGGAGCUUGCUCCUCUGACGUUAGCGGCGGACGGGUGAGUAACACGUGGAUAACCUACCUAUAAGACUGGGAUAACUUCGGGAAACCGGAGCUAAUACCGGAUAAUAUAUUGAACCGCAUGGUUCAAUAGUGAAGGACGGUUUUGCUGUCACUUAUAGAUGGAUCCGCGCCGCAUUAGCUAGUUGGUAAGGUAACGGCUUACCAAGGCAACGAUGCGUAGCCGACCUGAGAGGGUGAUCGGCCACACUGGAACUGAGACAGGGUCCAGACUCCUACGGGAGGCAGCAGUCGCGAAUCUUCCGCAAUGGGCGAAAGCCUGACGGAGCAACGCCGCGUGAGUGAUGAAGGUCUUCGGAUCGUAAAACUCUGUUAUUAGGGAAGAACAAAUGUGUAAGUAACUAUGCACGUCUUGACGGUACCUAAUCAGAAAGCCACGGCUAACUACGUG
rnacentral:rRNA from 1 species